GGAGUUAGCCGGUGCUUCUUCUGUGAGUGAUGUCCUUCCUGCCGGCUAUUAACCCGCAGGCCUUCUUCCUCACUGAAAGUGCUUUACAACCCGAAGGCCUUCUUCACACACGCGGCAUGGCUGGAUCAGGGUUGCCCCCAUUGUCCAAUAUUCCCCACUGCUUCCUCCCGUAGGAGUCUGGGCCGUGUCUCAGUCCCAGUGUGGCUGAUCAUCCUCUCAGACCAGCUACGGAUCGUCGCCUUGGUGAGCCGUUACCUCACCAACCAGCUAAUCCGACAUAGGCUCAUCCGAUAGCGCGAGGCCCGAAGGUCCCCCGCUUUCCCCCGUAGGGCGUAUGCGGUAUUAGCCUGGGUUUCCCCAGGUUAUCCCCCACUACCGGGCAGAUUCCUAUGCAUUACUCACCCGUCCGCCGCUCGCCACCAGGGAGCAAGCUCCCCGUGCUGCCGCUCGACUUGCAUGUGUUAGGCCUGCCGCCAGCGUUCAAUCUGAGCCAGGAUCAAACUCUGA
rnacentral:rRNA from 1 species